GACGAACGCUGGCGGCGUGCUUAACACAUGCAAGUCGAACGGAAAGGCCCUGCUUUUGUGGGGUGCUCGAGUGGCGAACGGGUGAGUAACACGUGAGUAACCUGCCCUUGACUUUGGGAUAACUUCAGGAAACUGGGGCUAAUACCGGAUAUGCGCUCCUGCUGCAUGGUGGGGGUUGGAAAGUUUCGGCGGUUGGGGAUGGACUCGCGGCUUAUCAGCUUGUUGGUGGGGUAGUGGCUUACCAAGGCUUUGACGGGUAGCCGGCCUGAGAGGGUGACCGGCCACAUUGGGACUGAGAUACGGCCCAGACUCCAACGGGAGGCAGCAGUGGGGAAUAUUGCACAAUGGGCGGAAGCCUGAUGCAGCAACGCCGCGUGCGGGAUGACGGCCUUCGGGUUGUAAACCGCUUUCGCCUGUGACGAAGCGUGAGUGACGGUAAUGGGUAAAGAAGCACCGGCUAACUACGUG
rnacentral:rRNA from 1 species